AUUGAACGCUAGCGGGAUGCUUUACACAUGCAAGUCGAACGGCAGCGCGGACUUCGGUCUGGCGGCGAGUGGCGAACGGGUGAGUAAUGUAUCGGAACGUGCCCAGUAGCGGGGGAUAACUACGCGAAAGCGUAGCUAAUACCGCAUACGCCCUACGGGGGAAAGCAGGGGAUCGUAAGACCUUGCACUAUUGGAGCGGCCGAUAUCGGAUUAGCUAGUUGGUGAGGUAACGGCUCACCAAGGCGACGAUCCGUAGCUGGUUUGAGAGGACGACCAGCCACACUGGGACUGAGACACGGCCCAGACUCCUACGGGAGGCAGCAGUGGGGAAUUUUGGACAAUGGGGGCAACCCUGAUCCAGCCAUCCCGCGUGUGCGAUGAAGGCCUUCGGGUUGUAAAGCAAUUUUGGCAGGAAAGAAACGUCGCGGGCUAAUACCCCGUGGAACUGACGGUACCUGCAGAAUAAGCACCGGCUAACUACGUG
rnacentral:rRNA from 1 species